rnacentral:rRNA from 1 species
GAUCAUGGCUCAGAUUGAACGCUGGCGGCAGGCUUAACACAUGCAAGUCGAGCGGGGGAAAGGUAGCUUGCUACCUGACCUAGCGGCGGACGGGUGAGUAAUGCUUAGGAAUCUGCCUAUUAGUGGGGGACAACGUUCCGAAAGGAACGCUAAUACCGCAUACGCCCUACGGGGAAAGCAGGAGAUCUUCGGACCUUGCGCUAAUAGAUGAGCCUAAGUCGGAUUAGCUAGUUGGUGGGGUAAAGGCCUACCAAGG